UACGUAGGGUGCGAGCGUUAAUCGGAAUUACUGGGCGUAAAGCGUGCGUAGGCGGUUCGUUAAGUCAGCUGUGAAAGCCCCGGGCUCAACCUGGGAAUUGCGGUUGAAACUGGCGAACUAGAAUCUGGCAGAGGGGGGUGGAAUUCCACGUGUAGCAGUGAAAUGCGUAGAGAUGUGGAGGAAUACCGAUGGCGAAGGCAGCCCCCUGGGAUGAUACUGACGCUCAUGCACGAAAGCGUGGGGAGCAAACAGG
rnacentral:rRNA from 1 species